CUCCUGUUGACUAACCCUGUCUCUAAACUAUGCUCCUAAAACAUCUUUGUGGAGGGAUUCAGACAAAUUUAUUGUCUCAUUAAACAGAAAUGAGAAGAACCAGUACAGGCAGUUCAGUACAGGAAGUCCCGAAGUUAUGAACAAGGAGAUUCAUUUUGGAGAUGUCCAGAUACUGCCUGAAGUUGGGAAACAUUCCACCAGGGAUGGCCAAGACAUUUUGCUGCCUGAGGUUACAUAAUCCAUAUUGUACAGAAGCAUCCUUGCUGCUGGAAAGCCCCCCUUCUGACUAAGGACUUUACAGCACGAGUUUCUAAAAACAAGUUCUGGCAUUGCAAACCUGUCUUGCUGAGAACUGGAGCACACCAGAAUAGCCAGACAUCACACCAAUAUUUGCUGUAAGCACUGUUGGAAAUAGCAACCUUCUUCAAGCCUCCACUAAUUAUUUGUUGGAUUACUUAUUGUAUAAUAUAUGUGUGUACUGGUAUGCAAUUUUCCUUAACUCUCUGUUGUGGGAGGGAUUGCAGACCAUGUGAUCAGAUCUGGGAUUGUUCAGGACUCUUACUCCAUUUUAGAAACAGUAUAUUUAGAGACUUCAAUAGAAACAAAUUUAUGUUUUCAGACGCCAGUAGAAGCAGAAGCCAUUAGACUUUCAAUGUAGAAACAGAGACUUUAUUGGACUCUCAGACCAGAGAAAUGCUUUAUGCUAUGGACUAUUGAUUAUGUGUUUUAUCUAUACAGAGAAACUACUAUACUUCAAAUCCUAUUUGUAACUGGACUCAUACGCAAAGUACCUGUAUGCUUAAUACAUGAAGUUUGUGAGUAAACCAACUAUGUUACUUUU